GAGAAGCGAGAGAGCAUAAAAAGUGAAGUGUCGCAGAGAAACGAGCAGGCGAGUAGCCAACGUAGCCCAAGAAGCAGUGAGUGACUAACUUUCAAUUAUUGAUCGGUGGCAGCUAUUGCGGUGGAGCGUCAUUGCUUAUUUUUG
ensembl:ncRNA B0035.19 ncRNA